GUGCUGGGGGAGAAAUCAGCAUCCUAGUUCGCUCGAGUCCCCCCCAGACCCCCGGGCACCCGAAGUGCCUGGUUCCGCGGGGAAGUUCCCUGCAACUUGUCGGGCCGGGCGGUGGCGUACCCGGGUAAGCGCACACAGGACUCAGGGUGCUCGGUACUAAGCAAAAGGACCGGGUUCGAGCCCCCGUCCCCCGCUCCCCACCUGCAAGGGUGUGUGUGUGGGGGGGGGUCACCUCACAAGCGCCACCAGGUUCCAGAUGCCAACAUGAUGUCAACCAGACUUCCCUGGACAUACAACCCCACCAAGGUGUCCUGGAGCCUCGAUUCCCCAGAGCCCUGCCCCACUAGGGAAAGAGAGAGGCAGACUGGGACCACCAGGUUCCAGAUGCCAGCAGGAUGCCAACCAGACUUCCCUGGACAGACAACCCCACCAAUGUGUCCUGGAGCUCUGAUUCCCCAGAGCCCUGCCCCACUAGGGAAAGAGAGAGGCAGACUGGGAGUAUGGACCGACCAGUCAACGCCCGUGUUCAGUGGGGAAGCAAUUACAGAAGCCAGACCUUCCACCUUCUGCAUCCCACAAUGACCCUGGGUCCAUGCUCCCAGAGGGAUAGAGAAUGGGAAAGCUAUCAGGGGAGGGGAAUGGGAUGCGGAGUUCUGGUGGUAGGAAUUGUACCA